UGCAAGCAGACGACGAAGUCUUCGUGCCGCCUAGUGAUGAAAACAGGGCUACUACAUCUGCUGCUGUGGAGGACGGAGGAUGUGUGCUGAGGAGGAGGGAAGAGAAGUGGAGCAGGCAGCUGGAGAAGACCAUGAGCCGAAACAACUUCAAGAAAUAAAGACACAGUGCUUCACAAGAAAAUGGAUAAAGCCUUUCUCUGUAUUAUGCGGAAUGACGUUCUUUUGCAGUUUCAUAAAGUGAUUUGAUUUGUUUUUUA